CUCUGGAAACUGGUAAGAAACUUGGUGUUUUAUGUCAGUGACAGUGCUUUCGGGAUCUUGUACGAUGAUAACGAAAAUCUAAAUAUUAAUUUAAAUUUUCCAUUUGUGUAAUUUUUCUAAUCGUGAAAAUAAUGAAGAUGCAAAUUUCUAAUCAUUUUUUAUUUUCAAAAUCAAUCACAAAUCUGAAUCCGAAUCUUGGAUACGACGUCCCCACGAUUCUUAUUUUUUUGAAUUUUAAAAUAUGGGAUUGUUCGAUGUAUCUAUACUAUUAAACAAG
rnacentral:lncRNA from 1 species